AUAGCCUAUCGGAGAGCACCGGUGCAUAUAAGGGAUUGUGUCAGGUUCAUGGUCAUUGAACAUGCCUCAUUUUGAGGUGCUCUUCCGGUUUCCGGUUCCAUGUUCAACAGAGGCCGCUGGGUGUUAUUGGUGCGGCUAACUUUGUUUCCAGUUACCUUCAGUUACCUGGGAGUGCAAAGGGACAAAAAGGGUCAAAACAACCUUUGUUGCGACAGACUGUCUAUCCUCAGUGUUCUUUCAUUACCCGAUGUCCAUCUGUAUCCGGUUUAUUAUCGAACCAGUACUGUAUCUGUGAUUUUGUGUGGCGGACGGCUGUAUUUCUCUGGGGAUUACUGCUGUAUGUGCAGUUGAGGCUGCACACUGUUCCUGGGACAAUGCUGCUGUUUUGUUCUGUGCUAAACUGUUUUGUUCCGUGUUAAAUUGCUUUGCUCCUGGCUAAAUUGCUUUGUCUUGUAAUUGUUUAUUUUUGGUUUCAUGUGGUUUCUUUAUUUAUCAACAUUGUUACCCUUUCUCUCUGAUACUGUUGCUUUAAGGCCUACCUCGAGGUUGGAAGCCUUUUGCUGAUGUCAGAGUGUGGAAACUAGUUAUUCUUUUGUUAUUUCCUUUAAUCGUUCUACCUUGAAAUCUAAUUUAUAUAUUUUCUUAGAUUGAUUCAUACUUUUCUCCUGAAUUUCGUAAUUCUUUAUUCUUUUUUUUUCUUGUUUAUUUGGUUUUCUCGGUUUAAGCAUGGUCAAUUUUAACAUAUAUUGUUGCUUUUUGUUUUGUGUACUCUCUGUACUGUAGGCCCAAAGGCCGAGAGGCCUGACUUUCCUUCUCUUUUCAAGUGUAUUUCUGUGCACCGUGUGCUGUGUGACCACCGACAGUAAUUUCACCGAGCACUGAGUGAGUGUGUGUGAUUGAGCACAUGCAUGGUGUGGAUACUUAAAUCUACUUCUGCCUGUCUUGUGCCGAUCAGCUGCAGCCCUGCACGAGUCUUGAUUUCUCUUUUUGCUCAUUCUGA